rnacentral:rRNA from 1 species
UACAGAGGUGGCAAGCGUUGCUCGGAAUCACUGGGCUUAAAGGGCGUGCAGGCGGCCAAGUAAGCGUUUUGUCGAAAUCCCCCGGCUCAACCGGGGAAUUGCUUGACGAACUGCUUGGCUCGAGGGAGGCAGGGCGACUGGAACUCUGGGUGGAGCGGUGAAAUGCGUAGAUAUCCAGGGAACGCCGGUGGAGAAAUCGGGUCGCUGGGCCUUACCUGACGCUGAGGCGCGAAGCCAGGGAGCGAACGGG